UCCUGGACCAUGUUGUCCCAGCCUUCUGCCU
rnacentral:piRNA from 1 species